GUUUUGUUCAUGUGUCUCAUUAUAGGUGUCUUGGAAUAAUUAUAUUGUUGCACUUAUAUAAUUCCCCUGUAGUCAUUCUUAGGUUCAAUUUUUCGAUAUUCCUAUGCAUAUUACUCUUGUGUUUAUAGCUUGAUGUAUACAUAGGUUGCAUUUAUUUCAACAUUGUUUGUUUAAUGUAUCUCAUUUACUUCUGAUAGAGACCUGCUAACCACCAGGGUCUCAGAUUCAACACUGAAGCCAUGUUUCCUCUCAAGAUCAUGUCACGCUCCCACCAGAUGUCAACCACCACACUCUGCUGAUGGCUGAAGAGCACAAUCAAGGAAGUGUUUGGACAAGUUAUGCAAUCUUAGAAAAACCUGGUCAGUAAAUAGGAAUAUUAAGCAUGGGAACUGAGGUGGAGGAAUUUC
rnacentral:lncRNA from 1 species